rnacentral:rRNA from 1 species
CAAAAACAUCACUGGGAGAACAUAACUCUCAGCAAUGCCUGCCCAGUGUGAUUAAAAAUCAUAAACGGCCGCCCUAGCGUGAGGGUGCUAAGGUAGCGAAAUUCCUUGCCUUUUAAUUGUAGGCCUGCAUGAAUGGCUUAACGAGGGCUUAACUGUCUCUGGUUUACAGGGUCUAAAUUGGAUUAAAGGUGAAGAUACCUUUAUAUAAAAGUCAGACAAGAAGACCCCGUGCAACUUUCAAAAUCGGUUUAUUGAGAAACUUUAAGAUUUUUAGGUGGGGCGCCUACUGAGUAAUACUAACCUCUGUGUAUGGAAAAAACUUUCAAGUAUAGACCCGGCAAUGCCGAUCAUAGGAGAAGUUACGCCGGGGAUAACAGGCUAAUUCACUAGUAGAGAACGUAUUGGCUAGUGGGAUUGGCACCUCGAUGUUGAAUCAGGGAUGAUACCUUUAAGGCGUAGAAGCUUUG